rnacentral:rRNA from 1 species
GAGGAAAGCUGGCGGCGUGCCUAAUACAUGCAAGUCGAGCGAACAGACGAGGAGCUUGCUCCUCUGACGUUAGCGGCGGACGGGUGAGUAACACGUGGAUAACCUACCUAUAAGACUGGGAUAACUUCGGGAAACCGGAGCUAAUACCGGAUAAUAUAUUGAACCGCAUGGUUCAAUAGUGAAAGACGGUUUUGCUGUCACUUAUAGAUGGAUCCGCGCCGCAUUAGCUAGUUGGUAAGGUAACGGCUUACCAAGGCAACGAUGCGUAGCCGACCUGAGAGGGUGAUCGGCCACACUGGAACUGAGACACGGUCCAGACUCCUACGGGAGGCAGCAGUAGGGAAUCUUCCGCAAUGGGCGAAAGCCUGACGGAGCAACGCCGCGUGAGUGAUGAAGGUCUUCGGAUCGUAAAACUCUGUUAUUAGGGAAGAACAAAUGUGUAAGUAACUAUGCACGUCUUGACGGUACCUAAUCAGAAAGCCACGGCUAACUACGUG